AUUGAACGCUGGCGGCAGGCUUAACACAUGCAAGUCGAGCGGAGUGAUGGUGCUUGCACUAUCACUUAGCGGCGGACGGGUGAGUAAUGCUUAGGAAUCUGCCUAUUAGUGGGGGACAACAUCUCGAAAGGGAUGCUAAUACCGCAUACGUCCUACGGGAGAAAGCAGGGGAUCACUUGUGACCUUGCGUUAAUAGAUGAGCCUAAGUCGGAUUAGCUAGGUGGUGGGGUAAAGGCCUACCAAGGCGACGAUCUGUAGCGGGUCUGAGAGGAUGAUCCGCCACACUGGGACUGAGACACGGCCCAGACUCCUACGGGAGGCAGCAGUGGGGAAUAUUGGACAAUGGGGGGAACCCUGAUCCAGCCAUGCCGCGUGUGUGAAGAAGGCCUUAUGGUUGUAAAGCACUUUAAGCGAGGAGGAGGCUCUUUUGGUUAAUACCCAAGAUGAGUGGACGUUACUCGCAGAAUAAGCACCGGCUAACUCUGUGCCAGCCGCCGCCGUAA
rnacentral:rRNA from 1 species